rnacentral:rRNA from 1 species
AAUCUUAGUGGCGAACGGGUGAGUAACGCGUAAUCAACCUGCCCUUCAGAGGGGGACAACAGUUGGAAACGACUGCUAAUACCGCAUACGAUCUAACCUCGGCAUCGAGGAUGGAUGAAAGGUGGCCUCUAUUUAUAAGCUAUCACUGAAGGAGGGGAUUGCGUCUGAUUAGCUAGUUGGAGGGGUAACGGCCCACCAAGGCGAUGAUCAGUAGCCGGUCUGAGAGGAUGAACGGCCACAUUGGGACUGAGACACGGCCCAGACUCC